UGUGUGGCUUGCCCUCGUAAGUUUCGUGCGUGCAUGCCAGAUGUAAUUAAUUUGUCAAGUACAAAUUCCAACCUAGCCUGCACACAUUUUAUAUUAUGAAUAAUAAUUCCCAUGAUUCAUUGCCGUCCUAUUGCAAAGGUCGAAGGUCGUGGGUACGUUGAGACAUGGCUAGUUCUUUGUCAUCAUUGUGUCGGCCGUUUCAGUCAUUGUGCCCGCCCUACUGAGUCCGGACAUUCGCCGAAAAUUUGCUGCCAUUUUGUUGCAGAAAAACCUCCCCGUGUGAUUUCGCGAGUGGUGUGAAGUGAUUGGAGACAAUUUGACCCCGUCAUUGUUCCCCCGUGGUCAGUCAAGUCGGCCUUUUUCUGGCCACAUAUCAGUGUCAAAUUUGAUCAGGGUAAAAUUUGCUGGGCUGGGCAUUCCAGCACAGGAUCUUAGAAGUAGAUCUUGCAGUUUUAAUUGGUGGCCAUUUUGCAAACCACUGAAGCUGAACAAUGGGCCUGAGCUGCUGUGUUCCUGGAUGCAACCACAAAAAUGGCAGAGAGCUCUGCAGUCUGUACAACUUCCCGAAUGAGAACGAUGGCCCAGAUUGGAAGCAGUGGUAUAAUAUGUGGUGCGAGCGCAUCGGCAAAUCACACAGGGAUGGAAGCGGACAUGGCUGGAUGCCUACAACUUGGAGUCGAGUCUGUAGUUGCCACUUUAAGGAAGAGGAACGCUGGAAACCACGAACUCGUCAGCCAGGAUUGAAAUUCCGCGCUCCUGUGUACUUCCCAUUCAUGAGUGGUGCUUCCGGCAGUCUCACAAAAUCUGAACCGAUGAAUAAAACCCCGCUUCUGGCAGGUUUGAGGGUUGAUACAGGAAUGAAGAGCAGUCUGCUGGCUGGACUUAAUGUGAAAAUAGUUCCUGCUGAUAAUGAUAAGGCAUCUGAUACAGAAACUACUCAAGAUUCCAAACCGGGUAGCCCAUCAGAAAAUGAUGUUCAAAUGAAAGAGGAGACGAGAAAGGAUGGUGUCAAACGGGAGAGUCUCGACUCUGGAGAAACAAGCGCAAAAAAGAGUAAACUCGAAGAUGAUGAUGAUGAUGAUGACGAUGUUGAGAUGAUAGAAGAUGACGAGGAAGAGAACCUCAAAGACAAGCGAGAUGUUGCCGCAACGAGCAAGGCCAAGAACAUGACCAAGACCAAAACCGAGGAUGAUGAUGUCCAGAUGAUUGAGGAGGACGGAGAUCCGGCGAAAGCAGUGCAAGAGAAGACAGCUCCCAAGGAGAAAGGGAGUAAGACGUCCAGUGAGCGCCUGCUGAAAGCCUUGACACAACCCAACUCCCCAGCCCUGCAGAUCAUCCACUCAUCCUCUGCCAGCAACAGUCCAGUCCCCAUGAACAUGAGCAGUGGCCAGUCCUCAGGCAGCAGUGCCAGCGCCUACAGCUCCCUCGUCCAGAUGAACGCCAAGUCACAGAUACCAGGUAACACGGUACUGUCAUUAUCCAACCGUACUGUAGCGCCCCAGAGCAAGUAUGCUGAACUCCUAGCAGUCAUUGAAGACAUGGGCAGAGACAUCAGGCCUACCUACUCCGGUAGCAGAACAGCUACUGAGAGACUCAAAAGGGGUAUCGUUCACGCCAGGGCCUUGGUGAGGGAGUGCUUAGCAGAGACAGAGCGCAGCGCCCGGUCAUGAUAGCAGCCCGUGUCGUCUCCUUAUGAUAAACUGUAAUAUAUAUGCUUUCCCACACAAUUUUUUUAAAAAGCCAAAUUGUCCCUGAUCAGCCAACUCUGGAUUCGCCAAGUAAUGUUACUUCGUUGUCAGUUUCUGUAAUAGAAAACACCGACUUGGCUCUUUCCUACUGUUAAGCAUAAAACUUUUGCUAAGCACAAAAAAUAUCUGCUAAGCAAAACUGGGUUACCAGCCAAAAUGACAUGCAGUGCACACUGCUUGUUACUGGUUUCCAGCUUAUAUUUGUUCAGCACAUAAAAUUUGCUAAGCAGCUCCAUGAAAUUGGACACUGGAUUUUAAAGUUUUUUUCCACCUGCUAACAACCAAUUAUUUACUUGAGAUGUAUUCCGUGACCCUGGAGAGCUUGCGAUAUAUUUACUUGCUGAACAUUUUGUCUUUGAUGAAAGUGUUACAUCAGUGUACAAUUCAGAGCAUCUCACAAGAUGCUGAAAAUACUCCACUAUUAACAGGGAAAGCCCUGGAACACUAGGUUUCCAGAAGUAAUGGGAACAUUCUGAGUAUGAAAUGCUCCUUUAUUAAAAAGCACAGUUGUACCCAUACAAUUGUGUAGGUCAUACAUAUUUUCAAAGAAUGGUGAAAACGUGUGACAUUGUCAUCAAGACGUCAUCAAAAUGCAAUGUCAGAUUUUAAAAAAAUUGAAAAGUUGAACAAAGAAAUUGACUGGAGCGGAGUUUGAACCUGCGACCUCUCUCAGCCGUUACAGUUCACCUAGUCAGUUUCCCUUUGUGGUUCAGUUGAAGAUUUAAAAAAAUGAAAGGUUUUUUUUAAACUUCUCAAAAAUGGUUAAAGCCAGAUUAAUUCUUUUGGUAAUAUAAAUGUGCAAACUACAAAACACUCAAAACAGCUCCGUGUUUUGUCUACAAUGAAAUUGUUAGAGCUAACCCCUCUCAAUUAGAAAUGAAUUACCCAUAAUAUAUCUAGAAUCCUGUUGGAUCAUGUCUUUAACCACCUUGGUUGGGUUCCCUUUAAAUAUAGACCAAGAUACUUUUUUUGCUAGGAUGGGAAUAAACUGUGAAUUUGCAUCCAUCAAGUGCAAAAUUUUGUAAUCUCAUGUGUAAAAAUAAUGUCAUAUUUGUAGCUUUCACUGUACAAUAGCUCCUAUUUGUCAACUGUUUGUAAAAAAAA
rnacentral:misc_RNA from 1 species